rnacentral:rRNA from 1 species
UACGGAGGGGGCUAGCGUUGUUCGGAAUUACUGGGCGUAAAGCGCACGUAGGCGGCUUUGUAAGUUAGAGGUGAAAGCCCGGGGCUCAACUCCGGAAUUGCCUUUAAGACUGCAUCGCUAGAAUUGUGGAGAGGUAAGUGGAAUUCCGAGUGUAGAGGUGAAAUUCGUAGAUAUUCGGAAGAACACCAGUGGCGAAGGCGACUUACUGGACACAUAUUGACACUGAUGCACGAAAGCGUGGGGAUCAAACAGG